AGGUCUUACCUGCCCAGUGACAAGUUAAACGGCCGCGGUAUUUUGACCGUGCAAAGGUAGCGCAAUCACUUGUCUUUUAAAUGAAGACCUGUAUGAAUGGUAGAACGAGGGCUUAGCUGUCUCCCCUCUCAAGUCAAUGAAAUUGAUCUGCCCGUGCAGAAGCGGACAUACAAAUACAAGACGAGAAGACCCUUUGGAGCUUAAGACACAAGAUCAACUAUGUCAAUGCAACAAAAUAUUAAAUCAAACUAAAUAGCACAUGAUCUCUAUCUUCGGUUGGGGCGACCACGGAAGAAAACAAAGCUUCCAUGAGGACUGAGGCCACAGGCCUUAAAACCAAGAAAGACAUUUCUAAGCAACAGAACAUCUGACCUUAAGAUCCGGCUAACCAAGCCGACCAGCGGACCAAGUUACCCUAGGGAUAACAGCGCAAUCCCCUUUAAGAGUCCAUAUCGACAAGGGGGUUUACGACCUCGAUGUUGGAUCAGGACAUCCUAAUGGUGCAGCCGCUAUUAAGGGUUCGUUUGUUCAACGAUUAAAGUCCUACGUG
rnacentral:rRNA from 1 species